AGUACAACAAGCUUGUUAGGGAAGGGCGCCAAACCUCUUUUGCUCCAAUGCUGAACUUUGUGCGUACGGAGAUCCAGAAGCAAGCAGUUGAGCAUGAGACCGCUUUGGAGUCGUUUCCACAUGGUGAGAAGGGCGAGAGUUCAUUUCGAGAAUUUGUGAAGCGCCAGGGCCAGAAGCUACGUCGGUUGUCGAACCUACUUGGUUGCCGUGAUCCUGAGAUUAUGACGCCGUCCCAAUCAAGGUCCGCAUC